rnacentral:rRNA from 1 species
UACGAAGGGGGGCUAGCGUUGCUCGGAAUCACUGGGCGUAAAGGGCUCGUAGGCGGAUCGGCGGGUCUGGCGUGAAAUCUCCACUGCUCAACAGGGAGAGGCCGCUGGAAACUACCGAUCUUGAGUAUGGUAGAGGACUAUGGAAUUCCGCAUGUAGCGGUGGAAUGCGUAGAUAUGCGGAAGAACACCGGUGGCGAAGGCGGUAGUCUGGGCCUAACG